AACAAAGAAGAUGGCUGACCUCAUGUCUAUUCCUUAUCUCUCCAGUAGUUUAUCUGUGUAUGUAAUAUACAAGCCUUUGAGUUGGUAAUAAUCCUGGAACCAGACUAAUCGCAGAUCAUAUCACUGACUCACAAUGAAUAUGUGCCCUUUGGGUCCCAUGAACGUGUAGGAUCCCUCUUCAAUUGGAAGGAGAAAUAUCAAAG